rnacentral:rRNA from 1 species
AGUUGGCGGGGUAACGGCCCACCAAACCGACGAUGGAUAGGGGUUCUGAGAGGAAGGUCCCCCACAUUGGUACUGAGACACGGACCAAACUCCUACGGGAGGCAGCAGUGAGGAAUAUUGGUCAAUGGCCGAGAGGCUGAACCAGCCAAGUCGCGUGAAGGAAGAAGGAUCUAUGGUUUGUAAACUUCUUUUAUAGGGGAAUAAAGUGGAGGACGUGUCCUUUUUUGUAUGUACCCUAUGAAUAAGCAUCGGCUAACUCCGUGCCAGCAGCCGCGGUAAUACGGAGGAUGCGAGCGUUAUCCGGAUUUAUUGGGUUUAAAGGGUGCGUAGGUGGUGAUUUAAGUCAGCGGUGAAAGUUUGUGGCUCAACCAUAAAAUUGCCGUUGAAACUGGGUUACUUGAGUGUGUUUGAGGUAGGCGGAAUGCGUGGUGUAGCGGUGAAAUGCAUAGAUAUCACGCAGAACUCCGAUUGCGAAGGCAGCUUACUAAACCAUAACUGACACUGAAGCACGAAAGCGUGGGGAUCAAACAGGAUUAGAUACCCUGGUAGUCCACGCAGUAAACGAUGA